CGGGUGCACUGAUCCAGCCGGGCCUUUCCCUCUGUGGAACCCCAUGGCCUUCACUGGCUGUGGCGGGGAAACAGGACUUUUACUUUGAAAAAAUUAGAGUGCUCCGGGCAGGCCUAUGCUCGAAUACAUUAGCAUGGAAUAAUAGAAUAGGACGUGUGGUUCUAUUUUGUUGGUUUCUAGGACCGCCAUAAUGAUUAAUAGGGACAGUCGGGGGCAUCAGUAUUCAAUUGUCAGAGGUGAAAUUCUUGGAUCUAUUGAAGACUAACUACUGCGAAAGCAUUUGCCAAGGAUGUUUUCAUUGAUAAGGAACGAAAGUUAGGGGAUCGAAGACGAUCAGAGACCGUCGUAGUCUUAACUAUAAACUAUGCCGACUAGGGAUCGGACGAUGUUAUUCUUUGACGCGUUCGGCACCUUUCGAGAAAUCAAAGUGCUUGGGCUCCAGGGGGAGUAUGGUCGCAAGGCUGAAACUUAAAGAAAUUGACGGAAGGGCACCACCAGGGGUGGAACCUGCGGCUUAAUUUGACUCAACACGGGGAAACUCACCAGGUCCAGACACAGUGAGGAUUGACAGAUUGAGAGCUCUUUCUUGAUUCUGUGGGUGGUGGUGCAUGGGCCGUUCUUAGUUGGUGGAGUGAUUUGUCUGCUUAAUUGCGAUAACGAACGAGACCUUAACCUGCUAAAUAGCCCGUACUGCUUUGGCAGUUCGCCGGCUUCUUAGAGGGACUAUCGG
rnacentral:rRNA from 1 species